GGCUGUAGCUCAGUGGCAGAGCACUUGUCCAGCAUGUGUGAGGCACUGGGUUCGAUUCUCAGCACCA
rnacentral:tRNA from 1 species